rnacentral:rRNA from 1 species
GAUGAACGCUGGCGGCGUGCCUAAUACAUGCAAGUCGAGCGAACAGACGAGGAGCUUGCUCCUUUGACGUUAGCGGCGGACGGGUGAGUAACACGUGGGAAACCUACCUAUAAGACUGGGAUAACUUCGGGAAACCGGAGCUAAUACCGGAUAAUAUUUCGAACCGCAUGGUUCGAUAGUGAAAGAUGGCUUUGCUAUCACUUAUAGAUGGACCUGCGCCGUAUUAGCUAGUUGGUAAGGUAACGGCUUACCAAGGCAACGAUACGUAGCCGACCUGAGAGGGUGAUCGGCCACACUGGAACUGAGACACGGUCCAGACUCCUACGGGAGGCAGCAGUAGGGAAUCUUCCGCAAUGGGCGAAAGCCUGACGGAGCAACGCCGCGUGAGUGAUGAAGGUCUUCGGAUCGUAAAACUCUGUUAUUAGGGAAGAACAAACGUGUAAGUAACUGUGCACGUCUUGACGGUACCUAAUCAGAAAGCCACGGCUAACUACGUG